UGCCUGCCGGGCCCGGGGUAGCUGAAGCUGUGCCGGAACCGCUCGGCUCCGCUCCGAUCGCUCCCAGGGCCCGGGGCGGGCCGGGUGCUCCGGACACAGCGCUCGUAACCCUCCUGCUUCUCCGCCUCUACAUCCCUGCCGGCCUCCUGACAGCUUGAAAACCGCUCAGAGGUGAUAGGUUGGUUACAAAAGAAGGAAAAGGUUUUUUCAGCGCCGUACAAAGCUCCUUACGUGACCAGGCACGUUAUUCCCUGAGACACAAAGGACAGAUGGGUUGGUACCUUGAAACAAAGGCGCUCCAAAAAUCCAGUAACACAAGUUCUUAACUCUGUUGCGAAUUACAAGAAAAAAUUUCUUGAAGUGAGUCGCAGACUACAGUGCUCUUUGUAUGUGAUAAUGAUAAAAAUGCUAACACAAGGCUUUUUAUACAUUUUUUUUUUAUUGUGGUUCUCGAGUCAUAAUUUACUUUUAUUGUCUCAUUCCCUCCUAGCCCUUCCCUUCCCCCUCCUCAAAUGAUCACUAGAAAACUAUAUUAGAUUUACUAUUAUUUUAAAAGCAAAUAAAUCCUAGACAGGGAAAUAAAGGGGGUGGAAAUUGAAAUAUGAGAAAAAAAAAAAUCAUCUCAGAGCAACUUCCCCGUUUGUUCCUCGUCGAAGAAUUUGUCCCAAUUCCUCUGUAUCCAGUUAAAGGCAAAAUUGAAAAAUCAAGACAUAGAAUAGCAUUUUACUUUUAAUGUUUAAACCAGCAAACAUUCAAAAAUUUGAUUUUUAUUACAGAGCAGUUAAAGUGAGAGUUUUGAAAGAAUUUGGAACACAGAAAUCAUCUAUAGCAAACACGGAUUUCCUGCCAACAGCAAAGUUACACAUUGAGAAGCACUCAAAAACUUAAUAGCAUUACAUUGAAUGUUUUAGAUGGGUAAUAAAGUGGUGUCAUGGUUGCCCCCCGUCCUGAUGUUCACAAAACUGUAAUACAGCUCUUUUAAAGGAAUGUUUGGGUGGCUCUUAAAAGAGCCUUUGGGUUCUUGUCCAGAUGGUCCGGUACGAGCCGAUGGUUCGGCUUUA